GGAGACCAUCUCUCUGGAUUCCAGAAGGCAUGAGGACCCAGAUGCUAUACAGUGGGAAAACCAGCCUGGCAACAUAGUGCGUAUUAAUAAAAGGACACCACAUCCUGCCAAAUUCCAGCUGCGCUAAUUGUAUUGUGUUCACAGAGCUCACAAGCUAUCAGAAAGUUGUAUGGCAACCACCUCCGGCGCCAAAUAGAACUGGCAGACAUAGACAUUCAGUACAAGAAGAAAAAGAUGGAAAAUCUUGCACUGGAGUCCGAAAUAAAAGAGGACAAUUAGGAAACUGGACCUUGAAAUAAAAAAACUUGAGAGGGAGCUCCAAGAAGAUGACACAGCUCAAAAUAAAAAUUAGGUAUAUUCUCG